rnacentral:misc_RNA from 1 species
AGCAGCCGCGGUAAUUCCAGCUCCAAUAGCGUAUAUUAAAGUUGUUGCAGUUAAAAAGCUUGUAGUUGAAUUUCGGGAUCAAUUAAUCGGUCGUACCUAUGGUACGUACUGAUUUUAUUGGUUUCUCCCUUCUGACGAACCAUGAUGUCAUUAAUUUGGUGUCGUGGAGAAUCAGGACUGUUACUUUGAAAAAAUUAGAGUGUUUAAAGCUAAAUACAUUAGUAUGGAAUAAUGAAAUAGGGCGUUUGAUCCUAUUUUGUUGGUUUCUAGGAUCGACGUAAUGAUUAAUAGGGAUAGUUGGGGGCAUUAGUAUUCAAUUGUCAGAGGUGAAAUUCUUGGAUUUAUUGAAGACUAACUACAGCGAAAGCAUUUG